rnacentral:rRNA from 1 species
ACGAACGCUGGCGGCAUGCCUAACACAUGCAAGUCGAACGAGACCUUCGGGUCUAGUGGCGCACGGGUGCGUAACGCGUGAGAACCUGCCCUUAGGUUCGGAAUAACUCCCCGAAAGGGGUGCUAAUACCGGAUAAUGUCUUCGGACCAAAGAUUUAUCGCCUUUGGAUGGGCCCGCGUUGGAUUAGCUAGUUGGUAGGGUAAAAGCCUACCAAGGCGACGAUCCAUAGCUGGUCUGAGAGGAUGAUCAGCCACACUGGGACUGAGACACGGCCCAGACUCCUACGGGAGGCAGCAGUGGGGAAUAUUGGACAAUGGGCGAAAGCCUGAUCCAGCAAUGCCGCGUGAGUGAUGAAGGCCUUAGGGUUGUAAAGCUCUUUUACCCGGGAUGAUAAUGACAGUACCGGGAGAAUAAGCUCCGGCUAACUCCG